rnacentral:rRNA from 1 species
AUUGAACGCUGGCGGCAGGCCUAACACAUGCAAGUCGAGCGGUAGCACAGAGAGCUUGCUCUCGGGUGACGAGCGGCGGACGGGUGAGUAAUGUCUGGGAAACUGCCUGAUGGAGGGGGAUAACUACUGGAAACGGUAGCUAAUACCGCAUAACGUCGCAAGACCAAAGUGGGGGACCUUCGGGCCUCAUGCCAUCAGAUGUGCCCAGAUGGGAUUAGCUAGUAGGUGGGGUAAUGGCUCACCUAGGCGACGAUCCCUAGCUGGUCUGAGAGGAUGACCAGCCACACUGGAACUGAGACACGGUCCAGACUCCUACGGGAGGCAGCAGUGGGGAAUAUUGCACAAUGGGCGCAAGCCUGAUGCAGCCAUGCCGCGUGUGUGAAGAAGGCCUUCGGGUUGUAAAGCACUUUCAGCGGGGAGGAAGGCGAUAAGGUUAAUAACCUCAUCGAUUGACGUUACCCGCAGAAGAAGCACCGGCUAACUCCGUGCCAGCAGCCGCGGUAAUACGGAGGGUGCAAGCGUUAAUCGGAAUUACUGGGCGUAAAGCGCACGCAGGCGGUCUGUCAAGUCGGAUGUGAAAUCCCCGGGCUCAACCUGGGAACUGCAUUCGAAACUGGCAGGCUAGAGUCUUGUAGAGGGGGGUAGAAUUCCAGGUGUAGCGGUGAAAUGCGUAGAGAUCUGGAGGAAUACCGGUGGCGAAGGCGGCCCCCUGGACAAAGACUGACGCUCAGGUGCGAAAGCGUGGGGAGCAAACAGGAUUAGAUACCCUGGUAGUCCACGCCGUAAACGAUGUCGAUUUGGAGGUUGUGCCCUUGAGGCGUGGCUUCCGGAGCUAACGCGUUAAAUCGACCGCCUGGGGAGUACGGCCGCAAGGUUAAAACUCAAAUGAAUUGACGGGGGCCCGCACAAGCGGUGGAGCAUGUGGUUUAAUUCGAUGCAACGCGAAGAACCUUACCUGGUCUUGACAUCCACAGAACUUAGCAGAGAUGCUUUGGUGCCUUCGGGAACUGUGAGACAGGUGCUGCAUGGCUGUCGUCAGCUCGUGUUGUGAAAUGUUGGGUUAAGUCCCGCAACGAGCGCAACCCUUAUCCUUUGUUGCCAGCGGUUAGGCCGGGAACUCAAAGGAGACUGCCAGUGAUAAACUGGAGGAAGGUGGGGAUGACGUCAAGUCAUCAUGGCCCUUACGACCAGGGCUACACACGUGCUACGAUGGCAUAUACAAAGAGAAGCGACCUCGCGAGAGCAAGCGGACCUCAUAAAGUAUGUCGUAGUCCGGAUUGGAGUCUGCAACUCGACUCCAUGAAGUCGGAAUCGCUAGUAAUCGUAGAUCAGAAUGCUACGGUGAAUACGUUCCCGGGCCUUGUACACACCGCCCGUCACACCAUGGGAGUGGGUUGCAAAAGAAGUAGGUAGCUUAACCUUCGGGAGGGCGCUUACCACUUUGUGAUUCAUGACUGGGGUGA